AUGGUCCUGUCGGUGGUGUUCGACAAGAGGACAAACAAUGUGGAUUGCUCCAUGGCGGCCCGCAGCGACCUGUGGCGCGCCGAGGCGUCGCACUCCAGCAGCGGCAGCGGCGCGGCGCCGCUGUUCCUAGUGCAUCUCGGGCCCGUGCUCUUCCUCCGCGACACAACGCUGCUCUUCCCCAUGCACCUCUCCAAGCGCCACCUCAUCUGGUACGGCUUCGAGCGCAAGAAUGGAGUGCACUCGGUGUGCCCGACGUACUGGACAGCUCGCCGAAGAUGCUUCUUCAUGUCGAUGAUCUGCCUCAACCCCUUUGCCUGCACAUUCCUGGACAUGCAAUUCCCCAACGGACAGCUCAGAUACGUGGCCGGCGACGGGUUCGCGGCGAGGGGUUUCCUCCCUCUCGGCGGUGGCAGCAUCAUCCAGGCCCACGAAAAGUUCCCCGGGGAGAAGCGACUCAGCUUUUCCUACAAGAACGGGAGCGGGUGCAGCGUCGCCCCGACCGUCCAGUGGCCGGACAGGUCCCUGUCGCUGGGGCUAGCCCAGGUGCUCUCCUGGAGGCGGUGCGGCCUCAUGCUGCAGCUGGCAAUGCAACUCAGCAUUUGCCCCACGUUCGGCGGGAGCCGGCCCGGGGUGUCGACGAAGCUGGUCCAUUCGGUCAGCGAGGAGGCCGCGUGCGGCUACUCCCGCACCGCCUCCCCCUCCGUUUACGCUUCCGUGUUGCUUGGGAGAUCGAAGCUGAAUGGCGGCGCGACGAGCUCGAGGCUGGUGUUGAGAGUGGACGCACCGCUGCACGGUUUUGGGCGGCCAUGGUUCUCCAUCCAGAUGAACAAUGGGCUCGAGUUCUGA
rnacentral:rRNA from 1 species